UGUAAAUAACCUUCUGGGUAUUUACAACUAUCAUCUUUUCAUUAUUUAUCACCGUAUAAGUGGUAUAUUCUAAACUGGUACAUUUAUUAGUUUAGAAUUAGAUGUACACAUGCAUACACAUACAUACAUAGUAUAGCAACAUUCUUAGAACUAAGUAUUCAUGAAAAUAGAUUGUUAGUAUUUAAUGACUGAAUGGUAUUAUCCUUUCCUAUUUUUAAUACUAUUGUUUGACAAGUAUUUUUGAAGUACGUCAGUGUCUUACUGUUUUUUUUUUUUCCAGCACCCUGCAAAUUAAUUAAUCCCCUCCCAGGAUGUCAAGUUAACUGUGGGGACCAACACAUACGGAACCACAGGCUGGAGAAAGUCCUUCAGUUGCACAUUCAGAAUGAAUACUGUGAUCUUUUUAAGCCCUCGAUGCCCUGUGCUGUGUAGUCUGACCUGUGAUGAAGGAAACCAGACAUUUAAAAGUGCUGAGAACCCAGCUAUCUGCACACAUCCUUGCUCUGCAUACGUCGUAUUUGGGCAGUGCAAUUAGCAAGCAGUAAGGAAAAAUUUGACAUUAACACUGCCUUUUGUCACAACCAGUCACUGGGAGGAUGUGCCCAUACAAAGGAUAUUUCCAGAACAAAGGAAUCAUCUUGUCUCAAGCAAUUCCAGCUAUUCUACCAACUUAAUUUAUUUUUUAAUUUUGCUAACUGCUUGAUCAUCACAGUAUAAUUUCUGCAACAACAUAACUUGUCUUUCAUUUAUUUGUGUCUGGAAAUAAAUUUUUCUAACAUUUGCUGAAA